GACGAACGCUGGCGGCGUGCUUAACACAUGCAAGUCGAACGGUAAGGCUCCAGCUUGCUGGGGUACACGAGUGGCGAACGGGUGGGUAACACGUGGGUGACCUGCCCUGCACUUCGGGAUAAGCCUGGGAAACUGGGUCUAAUACCGGAUAGGACCAUGGUGUGGAUACUGUGGUGGAAAGUUUUUUCGGUGUGGGAUGGGCCCGCGGCCUAUCAGCUUGUUGGUGGGGUAAUGGCCUACCAAGGCGGCGACGGGUAGCCGGCCUGAGAGGGUGGACGGCCACAUUGGGACUGAGAAACGGCCCAGACUCCUACGGGAGGCAGCAGUGGGGAAUAUUGCACAAUGGGCGGAAGCCUGAUGCAGCGACGCCGCGUGGGGGAUGACGGCCUUCGGGUUGUAAACUCCUUUCACCAUCGACGAAGGGUUUCUGACGGUAGAUGGAGAAGAAGCACCGGCUAACUACGUG
rnacentral:rRNA from 1 species